UCUCUGAUAGUAUAUCGGUUAGUACACGCGCCUGUCAUGUCAUUCGAUAAUGAUAGCCGCGCGAAAGCUGGGUUCGACUCCCAGUCAGAGAG